CCCUGCUCUGGAGCGAGCCGGGGAUGCGCUCGGCAGUGACUGGAGGGAGCUGCCGGAGCUGGGGCUGCCGCCGCGGGCAGGCUGAGGAGCAGGAGCCGAGCGCCGGAGCCAGCCCCUCCGUGUGGCCCCGCUUGCCCGUUCAACAGUGCAGUGCUGUGAGAGAUGCUAGCUGAGCCUGUGCAAAGAGCAAAUUUUACCAGAAUUGCUGAAAUCAUCCCAGAAAGACACUUUGCAGAUUGAUUCAGCAUCACAAGCUGAUCCAAUCAGGGUAUUGACAAAUACGCUAACGACGUCGAAAGUAGCCUACUUUAAGAGAAAAUAUGCAGAAGAAGAAGAUUUACAUCAAGAUUACCAGGGGUAUUUUCCAAAACACCUGAUAUUACCUGAGGACCGGACUUGUAUUCUAAAACUGUCUCUGCAGAAACUUCGAUUCCUUGAAGACCCUGAAACCUAUCUCCGUAGGUCUGUGCUUAUUAACAAUUUGCUGAGGAAGAUCCACCUAGAGACAGACAGAGAGAGCUAUGAAUACUUUAAAGAGGCACCCUGUUAUAGGACCGCUUACUCGGAUACAAGAAAACGGCUGAAGUUUAUGGUACAAGAAUGCUGUUCUCAGUCACUCUAUUAUGAAGAGCUGCAUUCGUAUCAUAUUGUGCCUUAUUCUACAGAGAAUUCCAUUUAUGGAAUGGGCUAUACAAGCGGCCACUUGGAGAAAAAUUCUCAGUUGCUUAUUUAUAAAAUGAAUUGAAGUAGCUGUUAGAUCCACUGAUGUUUUGUUUCUGAAUGCUUGAACUGCUUAUUAACAUGUGAAGAUGAGGCACUAAUUGUAAACAGACUUGUGAUGAAAGAUGGGUUACAUACAGAGAUGAAUGGAGGGUACUUUGAAUAAUACUCUGCAGUCAUUGGUAUGCGAAGGGUUUUAUAAGCAGAGAUCUUGCGUGCAAUGUAUUUUGUAGAAACUAAGUGACAUUAAGUUGCCAAUGUAGAUAUAAACAUUUUAUCUACUUCGUAUUUAAAUUAUGCCAUCCCAGGUGAGAGGUAAAACCAAAAGUGACAGAUUAUUCUGACAAUGAAGGUUGGGGGGUGGGAGUUAUUUUUUGUAAGGUUUAGCAAGCAAGUUUUCUUUGAGAAAUGCUUUGAAUCUGAAGGAAUCAGUGCCAAAAGAAACACCUCUUUGGUUAGGAUUUCCAAAAAAGCAAAAUAACCAAUCUGCUACUUACAAGAAGUUCUGCACCGAGAUCAGUCAGCACUCUAGUGAGGGUGUUUUUAAUUGAUCCACUCAAUUGCUCUCACUUCGUACUUAUCUUUCUGUUGACACACAUUUUGCGACAAAACGGAAUGACUCAGAUGAAAGUCUAUUUUCUCAGCCAGUUGUCAGUGUUUUCUAAACAUGAUUUGAAUCCCCUCCAGGUUGCCUGGCUGGAACUCUGAGGUUUUUGUGUGUGUGCUAUUUACUAUUCAACCAUGUGGUACAAUGCAUGAUCAGUGUUAGAGCUUAGGUGGGCACUUUUUGUGAUUUGAAAACAAAAAAACAACACAAAAACCCACCUUCCAGAAAAGGAAUAUAUUUGACACACUGUAGUAAAACCUGAGAGGUCUUUCAUUUGAGAUGAGUUUAAUCUGCAUUAGUAACAGUGUUUGAGGUGGAGUUAGAUGUCUAAUGUCAAUUUUUGGAAUUUCCUUUACAAUAUGUAUCAAGCAUGUCCUAUGAGACACAUUGCGCAAUCUAAUGACUAGAAUGGGAAAAUCAUAGCUGCCAGAGCUAUGUUCUGAAAAUACCAAAGAGUAACAUUAGGGAGAGGAUGACGUUAAAAUAAAUGGGGUCAAAAGCAGAGAGUGCACUAUAACUUGGGAGAACAUUAUUAACAAGCCAGUAAACUACAUAGUUACCAAUGUAUUUGUUCACUUAAGGAUGACUUGAAACACAGAAUUGCUGAACAAAUAUGCCUGAUCCAAAGCUUAUGGAAGUCAAUGGGAGUCCUAUAGACCAGUGGUUCUCAAACUUUUGUACUGGUGACCCCUUUCACAAAACAAGCCUCUGAGAGUGAC